rnacentral:rRNA from 1 species
UACGUAGGGUGCGAGCGUUGUCCGGAAUUAUUGGGCGUAAAGAGCUCGUAGGCGGCUUGGUAAGUCGGGUGUGAAACCUCCAGGCUCAACCUGGUGACGCCACCCGAUACUGCUAUAGCUUGAGUUCGGUAGGGGAGCGGGGAAUUCCUGGUGUAGCGGUGAAAUGCGCAGAUAUCAGGAGGAACACCGGUGGCGAAGGCGCCGCUCUGGGCCGAAACUGACGCUGAGGAGCGAAAGCGUGGGGAGCAAACAGG